rnacentral:rRNA from 1 species
CAAGGAUUCCCCUAGUAACUGCGAGUGAAGCGGGAAAAGCUCAAAUUUAAAAUCUGGCGGUCUUUGGCCGUCCGAGUUGUAGUCUGGAGAAGUGCUUUCCGCGCUGGACCGUGUAUAAGUCUCUUGGAACAGAGCGUCAUAGAGGGUGAGAAUCCCGUCUUUGACACGGACUACCAGUGCUUUGUGAUGCGCUCUCAAAGAGUCGAGUUGUUUGGGAAUGCAGCUCAAAAUGGGUGGUGAAUUCCAUCUAAAGCUAAAUAUUGGCGAGAGACCGAUAGCGAACAAGUACCGUGAGGGAAAGAUGAAAAGCACUUUGGAAAGAGAGUUAAACAGUACGUGAAAUUGCUGAAAGGGAAACGCUUGAAGUCAGUCGCGUUGUCCGGAACUCAGCCUUGCUUUCGCUUGGUGCACUUUCCGGAUGACGGGUCAGCAUCGAUUUUGACCGUCGGAAAAGGGCUGGAGUAAUGUGGCACCUCCGGGUGUGUUAUAGACUCUGGUCGCAUACGACGGYUGGGAUCGAGGAACGCAGCGCGCCGCAAGGCAGGGGUUCGCCCACUUUCGCGCUUAGGAUGCUGGCAUAAUGGCUUUAAACGACCCGUCUUGAAACACGGACCAAGGAGUCUAACAUACCUGCGAGUGUUUGGGUGGAAAACCCGAGCGCGUAAUGAAAGUGAAAGUUGAGAUCCCUGUCGUGGGGAGCAUCGACGCCCGGACCUGACGUUCUCUGACGGAUCCGCGGUAGAGCAUGUAUGUUGGGACCCGAAAGAUGGUGAACUAUGCCUGAAUAGGGUGAAGCCAGAGGAAACUCUGGUGGAGGCUCGUAGCGAUUCUGACGUGCAAAUCGAUCGUCAAAUUUGGGUAUAGGGGCGAAAGACUAAUC